GAUGAACGCUGGCGGCGUGCCUAAUACAUGCAAGUCGAGCGAACAGACGAGGAGCUUGCUCCUUUGACGUUAGCGGCGGACGGGUGAGUAACACGUAGGUAACCUACCUAUAAGACUGGGAUAACUUCGGGAAACCGGAGCUAAUACCGGAUAAUAUUUCGAACCGCAUGGUUCGAUAGUGAAAGAUGGCUUUGCUAUCACUUAUAGAUGGACCUGCGCCGUAUUAGCUAGUUGGUAAGGUAACGGCUUACCAAGGCAACGAUACGUAGCCGACCUGAGAGGGUGAUCGGCCACACUGGAACUGAGACACGGUCCAGACUCCUACGGGAGGCAGCAGUAGGGAAUCUUCCGCAAUGGGCGAAAGUCUGACGGAGCAACGCCGCGUGAGUGAUGAAGGUCUUCGGAUCGUAAAACUCUGUUAUUAGGGAAGAACAAACGUGUAAGUAACUGUGCACGUCUUGACGGUACCUAAUCAGAAAGCCACGGCUAACUACGUG
rnacentral:rRNA from 1 species